rnacentral:lncRNA from 1 species
CUUUACAAGCACUGGAUUUCUCUGUCAAAGUACAAGAGAGGAUGUUGAGAGAGUUUGUCAGGAAUGUAAGACUACACUGCUUCCCAGUGAUGCCAAGGUGCUAAAGCAUAGCUUCUCUUAAAUUAUGUAUGAAAUAUAUAAAAAAUUAUACAUACGCAAAUCUAUAUUUGUUUUAGAUUGUCCACAUUCUGGGGAAGAAAAGAAAAGGAAAGCUCAGUUUCUGCUAUGAAAAACUCACCGCUAAUGGAAAAAAUUAUCCUUCCCAUUCUUCAGUGUAUAAUGAGAUGCAACUAUGCUUCCCCGCCACCUUUAAGUUCACAAAACCUUCUUUGUUUCUCUAAUCACGUGGGAAAACUCUGCUGGCUGUGUACCUAACAACUGCAGAAGUUAGUGCUGUAUUUCACUGCCCCCUCCCCGUUCAUUCUUGUAUCCAUUGCAAUUAUCUGUCCUUUGAAGUUCAAUGUGUCACGCAUUUAAAAUGAAUGCUGGAGGUAUAGCCAUAGGUCGGCGUGUGCCGUUCAUGGCUUUAAUUGUAAUCUAUGCCCUGUUUUCUCCAGGGAAUGUUUGACCUGACACUACACUGAAUUUAUGAGAGUGAAAUCCCUUCACAAAGGUUUGCAGUUAAAAACACAAAUGAACAGGUAUACAUCAGCAUCUAUUGGUAAUGACAGCAGCAACACUUUCUCGAAAAGAAAAGCAGGAUCUGGCUACUCUGGGUCCAAGUCAUCUUGCUGCCUUUGAGGAGCACGUGCUGCAGCAGACGGCGUGUGGAGCCCCUGCCAGACAGGCGCAAGGGUUGGGCUUGCAGAUCUCAACAGCUCCAUUGCCAUGACGAAUGAAGCUGUCAGAGGAAGAUAUGAUUCUCUAGGCUUGGUCUACGGCUGUAGACCUCAUCUCUUCUUCCACUUCUCCAUGGCUCUGGACAGCUGAGCUAAAGCAACAUGUAGAUAACUAACCAUAAACAAGCUCCUGGGAAUACUCCAGUAUUUGUGACCUUGUUUGUAGCAGGAGGAACAUAUUUGUUAUGCCUCCAUUUCAGAGAAGCUUAUUCAGCUUCCAGUGAUUAUUGCAUGGCCUUAAGCCUUGUAGGGGUUAUUUAAUAUUAUAUUUUCCUUGCUAACACAUGCCACAAUGCUGUACUUAUUAUUUAAAGCUUUUCUGCUAAAAAGCCAUUGUUCAUGAAUUAGUUUGAUAAGACUUGUAUAAAUACAGAGUUGUGACUUUGCGUGUGAACCAUUUAGCCUUUUUCAUAAGAAAUAAUUCCUAGUGUUAAGACUCCUCCCUGCCCCACAAAUCAAAUGUUUUUUUCCAGUAAUUCCUUCUCAAGGAAGAUGCCCCAGGAAAAUCUGCUUGUUGGCUAAGGUCAUCUCAAGUAUUUGUAUUUUUUAUACACAUGAGAGGAUAAAUCCUUAACUAGAAGAGAUACCAUUGCUCGUUUUUGCCCUCUUCCUCCUCUCCCAAAAGCUUGCUACAUUAGUCCCCAUCUGCAAGCCCUGGAUUACCUACUAAGAGGUUAUAUAAACGUGCUUUAUGUGGUUUUACACCUCUAGGAGAGGUAUUUACUGAGCUAGCUCCUGGGCCGUGCUAGGCCCCAGGGGAUGCUGGUUAGGGACAGUAAGACCUGUGGGUGCCUUUAGGACCACGACAGGUAAGGGCACUGCUGACACUGCCACCAACGGCAUUAACUGUGGUUUUCUUUUAUUUGGUAGCUAGGUUUACUUGAAAAAAUGGCUCCCACAUUGGCCACCCAGUGUGGUAUACGUGAGUGUGCUCAUAUUCACAUCUCUCAAUAUCUUUUGAACUGCCUGGCCAAUUUCAGCUAUAGUUGGUAGGGGUCACCGGGGUAUUAAUGAUAUCCCCACAAGGUUCAUGAAUCACGCA